AGUGAACGCUGGCGGUAGGCCUAACACAUGCAAGUCGAACGGCAGCACAGGAGAGCUUGCUCUCUGGGUGGCGAGUGGCGGACGGGUGAGGAAUACAUCGGAAUCUACUCUGUCGUGGGGGAUAACGUAGGUAAACUUACGCUAAUACCGCAUACGACCUACGGGUGAAAGCAGGGGACCUUCGGGCCUUGCGCGAUUGAAUGAGCCGAUGUCGGAUUAGCUAGUUGGCGGGGUAAAGGCCCACCAAGGCGACGAUCCGUAGCUGGUCUGAGAGGAUGAUCAGCCACACUGGAACUGAGACACGGGCCAGACUCCUACGGGAGGCAGCAGUGGGGAAUAUUGGACAAUGGGCGCAAGCCUGAUCCAGCCAUACCGCGUGGGUGAAGAAGGCCUUCGGGUUGUAAAGCCCUUUUGUUGGGAAAGAAAUCCAGCUGGCUAAUACCCGGUUGGGAUGACGGUACCCAAAGAAUAAGCACCGGCUAACUUCGUACCAGCCGCCGCGGUAA
rnacentral:rRNA from 1 species